rnacentral:misc_RNA from 1 species
GUACUCUCACACUCUCUACUCCUUUGGAUGUGGGGAGCGGUGGACUUGGGUGUUUGCUGCUUUUCCUUGUGGCUCACCUCAAAUGUGUUAGUGUACCUCCUGGUUGGACAUAGUACGGCGUGAUAAGUGUCUUCGCCGGCACCUCACUAGAGGGUGGUCAAUUCAAGGAGCUCUAUGCUUUCAAACCGUCUUCGGACACUCUCUGACA